AAAUUGAAGAGUUUGAUCAUGGCUCAGAUUGAACGCUGGCGGCAGGCCUAACACAUGCAAGUCGAACGGUAACAGGAAGCAGCUURCUGCUUCGCUGACGAGUGGCGGACGGGUGAGUAAUGUCUGGGAAACUGCCUGAUGGAGGGGGAUAACUACUGGAAACGGUGGCUAAUACCGCAUAACGUCGCAAGACCAAAGAGGGGGACCUUCGGGCCUCUURCCAUCAGAUGUGCCCAGAUGGGAUUAGCUGGUUGGUGAGGUAACGGCUCACCAAGGCGACGAUCCCUAGCUGGUCUGAGAGGAUGACCAGCCACACUGGAACUGAGACACGGUCCAGACUCCUACGGGAGGCAGCAGUGGGGAAUAUUGCACAAUGGGCGCAAGCCUGAUGCAGCCAUGCCGCGUGUAUGAAGAAGGCCUUCGGGUUGUAAAGUACUUUCAGCGGGGAGGAAGGUGUUGUGGUUAAUAA
rnacentral:rRNA from 1 species